CUACGGGAUGCACCAGUGAGGAAUAUUGCACAAUGGGGGGAACCCUGAUGCAGCAACGCCGCGUGGAGGAUGACGCAUUUCGGUGUGUAAACUCCUUUUAUAUGUCAAGAAAAUGACGGUAGCAUAUGAAUAAGCACCGGCUAACUCCGUGCCAGCAGCCGCGGUAAUACGGGGGGUGCAAGCGUUACUCGGAAUCACUGGGCGUAAAGGACGCGUAGGCGGGUUGGAAAGUCAGGUGUGAAAUCCUACAGCUUAACUGUAGAACUGCACUUGAAACUUCUAAUCUAGAGUAUGGGAGGGGGAGAUGGAAUUAGUGGUGUAGGGGUAAGAUCCGUAGAUAUCACUAGGAAUACCUAAAGCGAAGGCGAUCUCCUGGAACAUUACUGACGCUAAGGCGUGAAAGCGUGGGGAGCAAACAGGAUUAGAUACCCCGGUAGUC
rnacentral:rRNA from 1 species